AAAGGUCACAUGAAACAUGUCGUAUCACCUUUCAUGGUUCUCAAAGGUCACCGAUAGAGCAAGCACAAGUGGACGGAGAAAACUCUCAGCAGAGAGAGAGAGAGGGGCACCAGAGUAACAGUAGCAUAUGAAUACGAUACAACAAUACUGCGAAUCUCUCAGCAGUUUCAGUACAGAGUCGAAAAGGGGGGAAAAAGAAAGAAAGAUAUCGGACGACCAAACUAGUAAAAGAUAACAGAUCAGCACAUAAUAAUGCUGGCUGCUGCCAAGCCAAAUUAUACCCAAUCACUAAGCCGGCAUGGCAUGGGUUGCAGUUGCAGCGGCGAUUGCCAAAGCCCUUCAUCAUCCUUCUCUCCGUUCAUCUUCUAUGGAGCAGCAGCCAGUCACUGAUCAAACACACACAUCCAGCAGCAGCAAUGCUUGCAGGUAACAGCAGAGCCAGAGGAAGGUAGUCCUCAUGUCCACAGUGACACUCCCAACCUUAAGCCGAUGCCUUGUCGAACUUGAGGGGCUUCACCACCUCCCAGGUGAAGUCGGCGUCGUCACGG
rnacentral:lncRNA from 1 species